CCUUCCCCAUCCCCCCCUCCCCUCGCCGCCAGCCAUGGCCUCCUACUCCCCAAUGCUGCACUCCUCCCCCUCCGCCCACCGCCACCAAUCCUCCUCACCCCACCUCGGCCAGCUCCACCUCCACCCCCGCCUUCAUAGCCAGAAUCCCCCCUCCCGCCUCUCCCUCCUCCGCUCCCUCCCACUCCGCCUCCACCUUGCCAUUCCCCGCCCCCUCCUCCCCACCCUCCUCCCCCUCGCCCUCCUCGGCAACAACGGCAACGACAACGGCGGCGGCAACAACAACGGCGGCAGCCGCCAUCGCGAAAUAGGGGACGGCGGCGGCGAGUGGGGCGGCCACCGGGGGAGGCGCUAUUCGUGCUGGCGCAGGAGGGGAGGAAGCUCUCCAGCCUGCCGGCGGACCUCGCCGCGGCAGUGGAGGGUGGCCACGUCACGGGUGACGGCGUGCAGCGCUUCGCGGAGAUGGAGCGCUCGCCGCUGCUCCGCUGGCUGCUGGGCUUCAGAGGGUUCAGGGAGUGCCUCCUCGUCGACGACCUCUUCCUCACCAAGCUCUCCAUGGAGAUGGGCGUUGGCAUGAUCGCCAAGGUCCGUGGGAUCGACAUGGAUGAAUCAUGAAUGCUUUCAACUUAUUCUUAUCUUAUUCUCCUUUGAUUUUCAAAAGAAAAAAAUGAAAUCACGUUUUAAUUUGUCUGAACCUUUUUUGUUGCUGCUCUUUUUGUUUCAAACCGCUGCCGAGUAUGAGAAGAGAGAGAGAGCUUCGUCAAAGAAAUUGACAUCGUCAUCGCUGAUGUGAUAGGGAUAGUGUAAACCUCCAACAUCCCUGCACCGGCGUCGUGUAAACCUCCAACAGAAGAUUCCUUCAGCUGGGGAUAGUGUUACCCAUGAUCCGAUGGCACACAUACAUGCUUCUUCAGUAGGGGUGUACAUCUAUAAGCUCCGCGAGUCAUCGUCUUGAAGAAGUAAAUGGUGGCUGAAAGUUAAGAAGUGGCACCAGUUGGUAUGCCGGCCUAUCCAAGGACCAGAGGGCAGAGUGCUUAAAUAAGCAACAGAUUGCGCGGCUAAAAGGAAAACAGGCCUCAAACAAAGAUAAUGUCGAUGUCACUCAUAAUUCCUCUUUUCCAAUUGGUAAUACGAACUCCAAAUAGGAGAUACAAAUGGACCAUCUUCAUUCUAAAAUAUGAGUUGGUCUACUAUUCUGAUGUACAGGUGCAACCUCCAUGGCACCACCCUCCAUGAGGUCAUCUCUUCCGGCCAUGCACAGGUCUCGAGCUAGACCCCGCAGAACAUUUUAGACCAUCUGUAUUACUAAUACAGGAUUGGCCCCAAGGAUAAUGAUUUGGUCCGAUAUUUAACCUUUACUUUCCAUGGUAUUUUUUCUCUCAAGGUCUUUAAAGAGGCCUUUUGUUUUCUGCCUUCCAGACUAGCUCCGGUGCAUUCUGGAUCCAUUGUUUAGUAGUAUGCUGCAUUGAUCGCACAUAAGGCUCUAUUUCUAGCCUUUUUAUUCAUUUUGUUAAUUAUGAAAACACUAAUGCAAGGAGCUGUAUGAGUAUAUUGUAUGUCAUCGGACGUGAAUGAUGAAAUAUUCAAGUCUCGAUUCUCACAUGGCAAUGAAAACCAAAGUCAUCUUUGUGGCCUUUUCUUUAUAUUCAGAAUUGAAUUCUACUCAUUAUGCUCGUACAAAUAUCUUUGCUCUUGGUGCUAGGCAUGUAGGAAUUGUUCCCAAAUUAUUAGUUUCAUAUGAGAUGACGCAAUACUCUGAAAUCUUAGACCUUCGUAUUUCAAACUUAUUUUUUCCAGUGCAUAGUAUCUAACCAUGGGUUUUUUCCCC